AACAGGAUUAGAUACCCUGGUAGUCCAUGCCGUAAACGAUGUCUACUAGCCGUUGGGGUCUUUGAGACUUUAGUGGCGCAGCUAACGCGAUAAGUAGACCGCCUGGGGAGUACGGUCGCAAGACUAAAACUCAAAUGAAUUGACGGGGGCCCGCACAAGCGGUGGAGCAUGUGGUUUAAUUCGAUGCAACGCGAAGAACCUUACCUACUCUUGACAUCCAGAGAACUUAGCAGAGAUGCUUUGGUGCCUUCGGGAACUCUGAGACAGGUGCUGCAUGGCUGUCGUCAGCUCGUGUUGUGAAAUGUUGGGUUAAGUCCCGCAACGAGCGCAACCCUUAUCCUUUGUUGCCAGCGGUUCGGCCGGGAACUCAAAGGAGACUGCCAGUGAUAAACUGGAGGAAGGUGGGGAUGACGUCAAGUCAUCAUGGCCCUUACGAGUAGGGCUACACACGUGCUACAAUGGCGCAUACAAAGAGAAGCGACCUCGCGAGAGCAAGCGGACCUCAUAAAGUGCGUCGUAGUCCGGAUUGGAGUCUGCAACUCGACUCCAUGAAGUCGGAAUCGCUAGUAAUCGUAGAUCAGAAUGCUACGGUGAAUACGUUCCCGGGCCUUGUACACACCGCCCGUCACACCAUGGGAGUGGGUUGCAAAAGAAGUAGGUAGCUUAACCUUCGGGAGGGCGCUUACCACUUUGUGAUUCAUGACUGGGGUGAAGUCGUAACAAGGUAGCCGUA
rnacentral:rRNA from 1 species